AACGGCCGCGGUAUCCUAACCGUGCAAAGGUAGCAUAAUCACUUGCCUAUUAAUUGUAGGCUAGAAUGAACGGAUCAACGAAAUAAAACCUGUCUCAGUUAACAAACUAAAAAUUAUUCUCCAUACGAAGAAAUAUGGAUAAAAUCGAAGGACAAGAAGACCCUAUAGAGCUUUAUUUAAAUCACAGACCCUAUCUAGUGUAAUAAUUCGGUUGGGGCGACCAAGGGAAUAAAUAUCACCCUAAAACACAAAGAUUAAUAAAUCAUAAAAUUGACCCUUAUAAGAUCACAAGAUCAAGCUACCUUAGGGAUAACAGGCUAAUCCCAUUCAAGAGUCCAUAUCAACAAUGGGGUUUGGCACCUCGAUGUUGGCUUAGG
rnacentral:rRNA from 1 species